CCUGCCCCUAGAGGCAUUGCAGGUGUGACUGCUGUGUCAUAUGUGUGUCGGUAAGUGGCAGAGAGACUAUGUAUAUGCUCAGUGUUCUGAUCUAUGAACAACUGAAUGAUGACUGGCACAAAUU
ensembl:snoRNA Gm24555 predicted gene, 24555